GGGCCCGCACAAGCGGUGGAGCAUGUGGUUUAAUUCGAUGAUACGCGAGGAACCUUACCAGGACUUAAAUGCACAAUGACAGAUUGGGAAACCAAUCCUUCUUCGGACAAUGUGCAAGGUGCUGCAUGGUUGUCGUCAGCUCGUGCCGUGAGGUGUUGGGUUAAGUCCCGUAACGAGCGCAACCCCUAUUCUUAGUUGCCAGCGGUUCGGCCGGGGACUCUAAGAAAACUGCCAGCGCAAGCUGUGAGGAAGGUGGGGAUGACGUCAAAUCAUCACGGCCCUUACGUCCUGGGCUACACACGUGCUACAAUGGGGAAUACAGACGGACGCUAAGCCGCGAGGUGGUGCU
rnacentral:rRNA from 1 species